UCAUCAAAUCCCUGCUACUACCAUGUUGACAUUCAGUGCUGGACAGACUGGUUUGACAGGGACGACCCCACUGGGAAUGGAGACUUUGAGACCCUGGCGGAUCUACGCUCUGAGUACCCUGGAAAGAUCUGUCCCAGUCCUGUACAGAUUGAGGUCACCACCAUCAAUGGAGUGAGUCACACUGCAACAGGGAACGUAUUUGCAGCGGUUGACACGACCACAGGCUUUGUCUGUAACAACCGCGACCAGAAACCCGGAACAUGCUGUGAGGACUACCGUGUUCGCUUCAGCUGCCAUCCACCAUUUUGUGGAUUAGGAGUGUGCUGGAGCAAGUGGUACGAUAGUGACAACCCUAGUGGGACAGGAGACUGGGAGCUCCUCAGUGGCCUGCAGGAGGCCUACCCUGGGUCCAUCUGUGCUCAUCCCCUCUACUUAGAGAGCGUCACCGUGGACACCAAUACACCUGCCAUCAGUACUGGGCAACAUUUCUA